GUUUGAUCCUGGCUCAGGACUAACGCUGGCGGCGUGCCUAACACAUGCAAGUCGAACGAAGCAGCAAUGCUUAGUGGCAGACGGGUGAGUAACGCGUAGAUAAUGUUGCCCCUCUUUGCGGGGGAUACCGUUUCGAAAGGAACGUUAAUACCGCAUAAAGUCCUUAGGAGGCAUCUCCCUAGGACCAAACUUCCGGGGGCGGGAGGAGCAAUCUAGCGUACUAUCAGCUAGUUGGUGAGGUAAUGGCUCACCAAAGGCUACGACGGUUAACUGGUCUGAGAGGAUGAUCAGUCACACUGGAACUGAGACACGGUCCAGACUCCUACGGGAGGCAGCAGUGAGGAAUAUUGCGCAAUGGGCGAAAGCCUGACGCAGCGACGCCGCGUGGAGGAUGACGGAUUUCGGUCUGUAAACUCCUGUCAGUAGGGAAGAGAAUGGACGGUACCUACUGAGGAAGCUUCGGCUAACUACGUGCCAGCAGCGCGGUAAGACGUAGGAGCAAGCGUUGUCCGGAAUUACGG
rnacentral:rRNA from 1 species